rnacentral:rRNA from 9 species
GACCUCGGAUCAGGUAGGAAUACCCGCUGAACUUAAGCAUAUCAA